UUGCAUAUCCAAUAGCGGAGGAAAAGAAACCAACCGGGAUUGCCUUAGUAACGGCGAGUGAAGCGGCAAAAGCUCAAAUUUGAAAUCUGGCGUCUUCGACGUCCGAGUUGUAAUUUGAAGAAGGCGACUUUGUAGCUGGUCCUUGUCUAUGUUCCUUGGAACAGGACGUCAUAGAGGGUGAGAAUCCCGUGUGGCGAGGAUCCCAGUUAUUUGUAAAGUGCUUUCGACGAGUCGAGUUGUUUGGGAAUGCAGCUCUAAGUGGGUGGUAAAUUCCAUCUAAAGCUAAAUAUUGGCGAGAGACCGAUAGCGAACAAGUACAGUGAUGGAAAGAUGAAAAGAACUUUGAAAAGAGAGUGAAAAAGUACGUGAAAUUGUUGAAAGGGAAGGGCAUUUGAUCAGACAUGGCGUUUGCUUCGGCUUUCGCUGGGCCAGCAUCAGUUUUAGCGGUUGGAUAAAUCCUCGGGAAUGUGGCUCUGCUUCGGUAGAGUGUUAUAGCCCGUGGGAAUACAGCCAGCUGGGACUGAGGAUUGCGACUUUUGUCAAGGAUGCUGGCGUAAUGGUUAAAUGCCGCCCGUCUUGAAACACGGACCUCCUGUGUGAAGGGGAUCCGCUAA
rnacentral:rRNA from 1 species